AUAAAUAAAUUUUUUAUAGUUUAAUUAUUUUAUUAUAAAUUUAUUUUACAUAUAAAUUUUAGUGAUAAUUUUUAAUUAUUUUAAUAAUAAUUAAUUUAAUUUAUAGUAAUUAAUAUUAAAAAUUUAAGAAAUUAAGAUUUAGUAAUAUUUUAAUUAAUAACAAAUUUUGUGCCAGCAGUUGCGGUUAAACAAAAAUUAAAUUAAAUUUUAUUAGUAAUUAAUUAUUAAUUUAUUUAUUUAUUUAAAUGUUAAAUUAUUAAGUAAAAUUUUAAUUUAAUUAAAAUUAAAAUAAUUUAUAUUUAUAAUUUAAUAAAUUUUAUUAUAAACUAGGAUUAGAUACCCUAUUAUUAAAAAUUUAAAUUUAAAUACUAAAAUAGUAUAUAAUUAUUUAUUGAAACUUAAAUAAUUUGGCGGUAUUUUAGUUCAUUUAGAGGAAUCUGUUUAAUAAUUGAUAAUCCACGAAUAAAUUUACUUAAUUUAUUAUUUUGUAUAUCGUUGUUAAAAAAAUAUUUUUAAAUAAUAAUAAUAUUUUAAUUUUAAAAUUAAAAGUUAAAUCAGAUCAAGAUACAGAUUAUAAUUAAGAAUAUAAUGGAUUACAAUAAAUUUAUUUAUAACUGAUUUUAAUUUGUAAUAAUUAAUUAAAGGUGGAUUUAAAUGUAAUUUUAUUUAAUUUGUUAAAAUGAUUAAAAAUUAAAAUAUGUACAUAUUGCCCGUCGCUUUCAUAAAUAAAUUGGAAUAAGUCGUAACAAAGUAGAGGUACUGGAAAGUGUUUCUAGAAAUAA
rnacentral:ncRNA from 1 species